UUAUAGCCGUUGGAUGCCGGGAACUAUCAUUUCCAUGAUGGUGAUCAUCACAUGCUAUCAAGAAUACCAUUAAAGAAAGAAAAAUAAAUCACUUCAAGAAAAAUGAUAGUCAUCUCGUCUAAAACGGAAAACAACUGGUCAAGCAUUCCAAAUCUUACAUUCAUUUGUUUCGUUUCUUAGCAGGAGCAUCAUCAUAAUCAUCAUCAUCAUCAUCAAAAUCAAACU
rnacentral:misc_RNA from 1 species